rnacentral:tRNA from 1 species
GAGUCAGUUGGCGGCGACCAGCGGGAGUGCAGACGCAACGGACUUAAAAUCCGUCGGUAGUAGUACCGUGUGGGUUCGACUCCCACCUGCCCUA